rnacentral:piRNA from 1 species
UNGCAUUGGAAAGCCACUCUUUGGGUAGC